UCUUCUGUGAUGAUUUUCAGUGACUUUCGUUCUUCUGAGUAUACUGAAGCCACCAUUACUGUCCUGAGAAGA
rnacentral:snoRNA from 1 species